rnacentral:lncRNA from 1 species
UGGCUGUAGGGACCUAUCCUCUAUGACUAUCAUUUGGCUUUAGUUUAAUUCUUAGAGACUGCUACUAUGUACCUACUACUAGCAGAAAUUUAAUUUCUGUUUCUUAUUUAGCAUAGGACAACUAUGUAAUUAGUUUUCAUAGGACUAUUAUACCAUUUAUUUUAGAACUAAAAUAGUUGAAAGUAGUUUCUUAAUAAAUAGUCUC